AUUGAACGCUGGCGGCAUGCCUUACACAUGCAAGUCGAACGGUAACGCGGGGCAACCUGGCGACGAGUGGCGAACGGGUGAGUAAUGCAUCGGAACGUGCCCAGUUGUGGGGGAUAACUGCUCGAAAGAGCAGCUAAUACCGCAUACGACCUGAGGGUGAAAGCGGGGGAUCGCAAGACCUCGCGCAAUUGGAGCGGCCGAUGUCGGAUUAGCUAGUUGGUGGGGUAAAGGCCCACCAAGGCGACGAUCCGUAGCUGGUCUGAGAGGACGACCAGCCACACUGGGACUGCGACACGGCCCAGACUCCUCCGGGAGGCAGCAGUGGGGAAUUUUGGUCAAUGGACGCAGGUCUGAUCCAGCCAUGCCGCGUGCGGGAAGAAGGCCUUCGGGUUGUAAACCGCUUUUGUCAAGGAAGAAUUCUUCUGGGCUAAGACCUCGGGAGGAUGACGGUACCUGACGAAUAAGGACCGGCUACCUACGUGCCCAUCGCCGCCGUAAAAC
rnacentral:rRNA from 1 species